rnacentral:lncRNA from 7 species
UUUGAAGGGCAGCACCUUACCUGAGCCUAACUUUAAGUCCUGUCAUAUAUAAACUUAGUGGUGAGCACAGCUAAAUAGCUCUCAAGUCAGAAUAAAAAUGUCAUCCUUCUUGAAAAAUUGGCUACUAUCUAAAGAAACCCAUUCCUGGGGGCAAUUGCAGUCACGAGCGUACAAGCAGAGAUUUGACUGAAAUCCUAGCCACAUGUAAAGGUUUCUGGCAGUUCUUCUCAAUAGGUUGUGAACUAUCUGUCACAAAUACUCACCUGCAUUUGCAUUUGGAUACAAUACAGGCCAGUAUACCAGUACAAGUCAUUUCAAAUUAAGACUUACUCCUUUCUGGCUCUAUAGCAUAAGUUCCAAUGCAAAAUGUACAGAACACCCACGUAACCAUGGCUUUUAGAUCUCAAAGUAAAUGUUUUCACAUAAUCAUGGAUUGCAUCCAAGCAAAUGUCUGUAAGAUGACAUUUCUGGAAGCUUUUGCAUCUUUACAUUAUAUUUAGUUUACACAAUAUACUGUACAACUGGAAAAAAUGGCCAUAUGAGCCAGACCAACAUUUGACCUCUUGUAGAGUGCCUUUGAGAACAGGCUAUUUCUCUACCCUCCUCUAUGCUAACACCUUUUACAUCAGACAAUUUCCAAAUCAGGAAUUUCUUUGAAGUUUCUGGUCUUUCUUCCAUAGUUUACUUUUCAAAACAUCACAAGGCCAGUGGAAUUUUUGUAUUCAUGUGCUGGGGGCCCCCAUGCAACUGAGCCUGGAUCAAAGUUUCUCUCUCUUCUUGACGUCCACCUUAUUUUUCUCUCUCUCUCUGAUGCAGUCCUCUUGCAGUCUGAGUCACUGGGAGUCCCCGAGAGUUUCUGGAUGGAGUUGAAGCCUGGACCUCCUGGCCCUAACGUCAUGCAGCCUUGGUCCACAAGGGACAGGCCGUUGUGUUUCUCACCAUGGUUCACCACAGCCAACACACUGGAGCACCAUCGGUGCAAAAAGAGAUGGGCUGCUCAUCCCUGUAAAGGCCCCCAGCUGUACAUGAAAUUGAUCCAAAAACAUUUAGGGGAAGGGAACCAACACUUUUCUACUGGAAAUGUAUCAAAGGGCAAAAUCCAGCACCUUGUAUCAUCUGGCUUACUAAUGCUACAUGUUCUUUCCAGGUCUUCUGUCAAAAUAGAUGGACAAAAGAGAUUAUUUUUGAUGCUCCUCUGCAUGCUCCAGCUGUGCAGAUAGAGAAGCUCCAGGAGUGGCCAAGGGAACAAAGCGUUGUGCUGUGAAUUGAUUUCUUCGAUGUCUCGUCACAUAUAAGAAUCCUCCCACUGGCUGAAGUGCUGACUUCCUUUCACACCCAGCAGCUGAAACAAGACUUCCCAACACUCACUUUCUUACCAAAUUCAGUUCUUUAAGGUUUUCCCAUAACACACUAUAUGACCAACAAUAGCUUGGAGGAGUUUUCAAGAUGAGAUGAGAAAAAGGGCAAGGCAGUCUUGCCACACUCUACUGGGAAUCUGAAAGGAAAAGGAGUUUUCUUUGUAAUAAGGGAAUCAUAGCAUGCCUUCCACGGAUGAUCACUCUGUUUAAUUAAUAAGGGGAGCGACGGCUGGUCAAACCAAAAUGAACAGCACAUAUGAGGAAAUUCUCAGAGCUGGGAUGCUGAACAGGCAGAAAUCAGCAUAGGUCCACUGAAGGUAACAAACUGAUUUAUACCAGGCCUCGAUGCAGAAUUAGGAUAGAGGAUUCAGAACUGAGAUUUACUACUGAAAAUUGGUACAGUUCUGUGGGGAAGAGAGAGAAAGCCUGCCAAAUAAUUUAUGGAAGACUGGGAUAGCUUACUUCCUGAGUGGACCCAAACUACACACAGGUUCUGAAGUUUCAGUUGCACCAAAUUCUGUGGCUUUACAUCUCCCAUUCUCAAAUAUCAAAAUGCAGCAAUGAUGCUUUUUGCUAAUCAAGAACGUACAUGUUGGUAGCAUUUGACAACUGAUUUAUCCUCACAUUAUCUUGCCAUCUCAAAACCUGGGGUUUUGUUAAAUGAAUUACCUGAGAGGACCACACAGCAAUAAGGAUGUUCUUGAUUAGCAACAAGAUGCUUCUUCUUCUACGUCUAAUGCCCCAAACCAUUCCUCUUUGGAAGGUAUCACACUCAAAGCCCAGCUUUGUUUGUGAACUGUUAGCACAGCUGUAGAAGAUUCAGUAAGCACCUGGUGUGGAAAAAUAAGAAUAACAUAGUGUUUCUUGCAUGCUUAUUGCCAUCUCAUGCUUAUUGAAAUAUUCUGUUUAUGCAUAAAAAUAAACACCUUUUGUUGGGAG